CCCCUAGAUGUUCUGGGCCGCACGCGCGCUACACUGAACAGUUCAACAAGUCUUAACCUUGGCCGAUAGGUCUGGGUAAUCUUUGAACGCUGUUCGUGACUGGGAUAGACCUUUGCAAUUAUGGGUCUUCAACGAGGAAUUCCUAGUAAACGCAAGUCAUCAGCUUGCAUUGAUUACGUCCCUGCCCUUUGUACACACCGCCCGUCGCACCUACCGAUUGAAUGGUCCGGUGAAAUCUCGGGACGGCGGCUUGGUCGCUUGCGUCCGACUGCUGAAACUUGAUUAAACCAUAUCAUUUAGAGGAAGGUGAANUCGUAGCA
rnacentral:rRNA from 1 species